rnacentral:SRP_RNA from 1 species
GUGGGUUUGGUGGCACAAGCCUGUAGUCCCAGCUACUCAGGAGGCUGAGGCAGGAGGAUCACUUGAGUCCAGGAGUUCUGGGCUACAGUUUGCUUUGCGAUUGGCUAUCUGCACUAAGUUUGGCAUCAAUAUGGUGACCUCCCAGGAGCGGGGGACCACCUGGUUGCUAAGAAGGGUGAACAGGCCCAGGUCAGAAAUGGAGCAAGUCGAAACUGCCAUGCUGAUCACGUGGUUUUUAUCCUUCAAUUUGUUAAUGUGUUGUAUUAUGUUAAUUGAUUUUAUGCUGAACCAGCCUUAU